rnacentral:rRNA from 1 species
UACGUAGGGGGCAAGCGUUGUCCGGAUUUAUUGGGCGUAAAGAGCUCGUAGGCGGUUGGGCAAGUCACGUGUGAAAUCUCCACGCUCAACGUGGAGGCGCCACGUGAGACUGCCCUGACUCGAGUCCGGUAGGGGAGCGUGGAAUUCCCGGUGUAGCGGUGAAAUGCGUUGAUAUCGAUAGGAACUCCGGUGGCGAAGGCGGCAAUACUGGUCCA